AUCUAACAGAUGAGUCCCGAACAAAACGAAAUGCAUGUCCUGGAU
rfam:Schistosoma curassoni strain Dakar, Senegal genome assembly, scaffold: SCTD_scaffold0000492